GAUGAAGAACGUAGCGAAAUGCGAUAAGUAGUGUGAAUUGCAGAAUUCAGUGAAUCAUCGAAUCUUUGAACGCACAUUGCGCCCCUUGGUAUUCCAUGGGGCAUGCCUGUUCGAGCGUCAUUUGUACCUUCAAGCUUUGCUUGGUGUUGGGUGUUUGUCUCGCCUCUGCGCGCAGACUCGCCUCAAAACAAUUGGCAGCCGGCGUAUUGAUUUCGGAGCGCAGUACAUCUCGCGCUUUGCACUCAUAACGACGACGUCCAUAAAGUACAUUUUUACACUCUUGACCUCGGAUCAGGUAGGGAUACCCGCUGAACUUAAGCAUAUCAAUAAGCGGAGGA
rnacentral:misc_RNA from 1 species